rnacentral:rRNA from 1 species
CAGUAGCCGCGGUAAUACAGAGGGUGCAAGCGUUAAUCGGAAUUACUGGGCGUAAAGCGCGCGUAGGUGGUUUGUUAAGUUGGAUGUGAAAUCCCCGGGCUCAACCUGGGAACUGCAUCCAAAACUGGCAAGCUAGAGUAUGGUAGAGGGUGGUGGAAUUUCCUGUGUAGCGGUGAAAUGCGUAGAUAUAGGAAGGAACACCAGUGGCGAAGGCGACCACCUGGACUGAUACUGACACUGAGGUGCGAAAGCGUGGGGAGCAAACAGGAUUAGAUACCCCUGUAGUCCAUGUCUCUUAUAC